GGACCCGCACAAGCGGUGGAUGAUGUGGAUUAAUUCGAUGCAACGCGAAAAACCUUACCUACCCUUGACAUGUCAGGAAGUCUGCUGAGAGGCGGAUGUGCCCGAAAGGGAACCUGAACACAGGUGCUGCAUGGCUGUCGUCAGCUCGUGUCGUGAGAUGUUGGGUUAAGUCCCGCAACGAGCGCAACCCUUGUCAUUAAUUGCCAUCAUUCAGUUGGGCACUUUAAUGAGACUGCCGGUGACAAACCGGAGGAAGGUGGGGAUGACGUCAAGUCCUCAUGGCCCUUAUGGGUAGGGCUUCACACGUCAUACAAUGGUCGGUACAGAGGGUUGCCAACCCGCGAGGGGGAGCCAAUCCCACAAAGCCGAUCGUAGUCCGGAUCGCAGUCUGCAACUCGACUGCGUGAAGUCGGAAUCGCUAGUAAUCGUGGAUCAGCAUGUCACGGUGAAUACGUUCCCGGGUCUUGUACACACCGCCCGUCACACCAUGGGAGUGGGUUCCACCAGAAGUAGGUAGUCUAACCGCAAGGGGGGCGCUUACCACGGUGGGAUUCAUGACUGGGGUGAAGUCGUAACAAGGUAGCCGUAUCGGAAGGUGCGGCU
rnacentral:rRNA from 1 species